GACAGAGGUGCCAAGCGUUAGGCGGAAUCACUGGGCUUAAAGCGUGUGUAGGCGGGUGCCUAAGUACCUUGUGAAAUCCCACGGCUCAACCGUGGAACUGCUGGGUAUACUGGGUGCCUUGGGUCAUCUAGGGGCUGCCGGAACAAAUGGUGGAGCGGUGAAAUGCGAUAGAUAUCAUUUGGAACGCCAACGGCGAAAGCAGGCAGCUGGGGAUGCACCGACGCUGAGACACGAAAGCCAGGGGAGCGAACGGG
rnacentral:rRNA from 1 species